GACGAACGCUGGCGGCGUGCCUAACACAUGCAAGUCGAGCGGAGAUAGGCGGAAGGUAACUGAAGCUUAUCUUAGCGGCGGACGGGUGAGUAACACGUGGGCAACCUGCCUUGAAGUGGGGGAUAACACCGGGAAAUCGGUGCUAAUACCGCAUAACAUACACAAACUGCAUGGUGAGUGUAUCAAAGGAGCAAUCCGCUUUAAGAUGGGCCCGCGGCUGAUUAGCUAGUUGGUGGGGUAACGGCCUACCAAGGCGACGACGGGUAGCCGGCCUGAGAGGGCGACCGGCCACACUGGGACUGAGACACGGCCCAGACUCCUACGGGAGGCAGCAGUGGGGAAUAUUGCACAAUGGGCGAAAGCCUGAUGCAGCGACGCCGCGUGAGGGAUGACGGCCUUCGGUUGUUAAACGUACUUUCGUACUAGGACGAAGGACGCGAACGGACGGUACCGUCGUUACGAAGAAAGACGACCGGCCGAACCGUACCGUACGCCACGCAGCCGGCGGUAAACCGAGUAACUCGUAA
rnacentral:rRNA from 1 species